CACGUAGGGCGCAAGCGUUGUCCGGAAUUAUUGGGCGUAAAGAGCUCGUAGGCGGUCUGUUACGUCCGCUGUGAAAACCCGGGGCUUAACCCUGGGCUUGCAGUGGAUACGGGCAGGCUAGAGGCAGGUAGGGGAGAAUGGAAUUCCCGGUGUAGCGGUGAAAUGCGCAGAUAUCGGGAGGAACACCGGUGGCGAAGGCGGUUCUCUGGGCCUGACCUGACGCUGAGGAGCGAAAGCGUGGGGAGCGAACAGG
rnacentral:rRNA from 1 species